rnacentral:rRNA from 1 species
GAUGAACGCUGGCGGCGUGCUUAACACAUGCAAGUCGAACGAUGAGGCCCAGCUUGCUGGGUGGAUUAGUGGCGAACGGGUGAGUAACACGUGAGUAACCUGCCCUUAACUCUGGGAUAAGCCUGGGAAACUGGGUCUAAUACCGGAUAGGAGCGUCCACCGCAUGGUGGGUGUUGGAAAGAUUUAUCGGUUUUGGAUGGACUCGCGGCCUAUCAGCUUGUUGGUGAGGUAAUGGCUCACCAAGGCGACGACGGGUAGCCGGCCUGAGAGGGUGACCGGCCACACUGGGACUGAGACACGGCCCAGACUCCUACGGGAGGCAGCAGUGGGGAAUAUUGCACAAUGGGCGAAAGCCUGAUGCAGCGACGCCGCGUGAGGGAUGACGGCCUUCGGGUUGUAAACCUCUUUCAGUAGGGAAGAAGCGAAAGUGACGGUACCUGCAGAAGAAGCACCGGCUAACUACGUG